rnacentral:lncRNA from 1 species
UGAGAGUGUUGAUGGGGUAUAUAGUGAGUUGUGAUUGCUCAAUUUUGGGUAACCGUCAUGUGGUGAAAACACUAAAAAUUUUACCGUGAAACGUGAGGGAAAAAAUACUGUUUAUCAUUUCACAAUACUUUUCAGCAGAUUUAAGGAUUUACUGUUAAAAUACCAAUUUUUUUACCAUUAAUUAAAAUACCAAAAAUUUCUGAUUUUCAACCCCCUCCCCCCCCAUAUAGACCCUCAUUAAUUAAUAGAAAUUUAAUUUUUUUCCUGUGAUAAGCACCACCCAAAGAGAAACAGAACUCAACACCCUUCCAUUGGCCCCCUCUGAUAUUUUGUACACCUUAUUGGAAUAUCUGUAUAUUAAAACCAGAAACAUUAUAGUUAAUAUUUAAUUGUUUUGUUUUUCCAACAAACAUUAGGACACUGAAUGUCAUUGAAGAUGUGUACUCUAGACUUCUGUUAAAAGAAAAGCUCGGAUUGAUAAAAGACCUUUCCAACAAACUUAGUAUGGCUACUUUAAAUGACCCAAGAUUUGCUACAGUAACUGACUUUAAUAUCAGUGCGAAAUAUCAGCACAUGCUCACGUUGAAUUUGGUUGUAAAUCAUAGGCAUAAUCUAUUGUAAUAUUGUUAGCGAGCAUAAAUGGACUGUAUAAUUAUACUUUUGGCUAUUGCUCGUUUGCAAUCGAUGCCAUUUUGGUUGAUUUUCAAAUACAUGUGGAAACUAU